GACGAUCGGUAGCCGGCCUGAGAGGGCGGACGGCCACAUUGGGACUGAGACACGGCCCAAACUCCUACGGGAGGCAGCAGUGGGGAAUAUUGCACAAUGGGGGAAACCCUGAUGCAGCGACGCCGCGUGAGUGAAGAAGUAUCUCGGUAUGUAAAGCUCUAUCAGCAGGGAAGAAAAUGACGGUACCUGACUAAGAAGCCCCGGCUAACUACGUGCCAGCAGCCGCGGUAAUACGUAGGGGGCAAGCGUUAUCCGGAUUUACUGGGUGUAAAGGGAGCGUAGACGGCGCUGCAAGUCCGGAGUGAAAGCCCAUGGCUUAACCAUGGUACUGCUCUGGAAACUGUGGAGCUUGAGUGCGGGAGGGGCAGGCGGAAUUCCUAGUGUAGCGGUGAAAUGCGUAGAUAUUAGGAGGAACACCGGCGGCGAAGGCGGCCUGCUGGACCGUAACUGACGUUGAGGCUCGAAAGCGUGGGGAGCAAACAGGAUUAGAUACCCUGGUAGUCCACGCCGUAAACGAUGAUUACCAGGUGUCGCGGUACGAAGUACUGCG
rnacentral:rRNA from 1 species